AGCAGCAGCCGCGGUAAUACAGAGGGUGCGAGCGUUAAUCGGAUUUACUGGGCGUAAAGCGUGCGUAGGCGGCUUCUUAAGUCGGAUGUGAAAUCCCUGAGCUUAACUUAGGAAUUGCAUUCGAUACUGGGAAGCUAGAGUAUGGGAGAGGAUGGUAGAAUUCCAGGUGUAGCGGUGAAAUGCGUAGAGAUCUGGAGGAAUACCGAUGGCGAAGGCAGCCAUCUGGCCUAAUACUGACGCUGAGGUACGAAAGCAUGGGGAGCAAACAGGAUUAGAUACCCCGGUAGUCCCUGUCUCUUAUAA
rnacentral:rRNA from 1 species